rnacentral:rRNA from 1 species
GACGAACGCUGGCGGCGUGCUUAACACAUGCAAGUCGAACGGGUCUGCCCUGUUUUUUGCGGGGUGGGUCAGUGGCGAACGGGUGAGUAACACGUGAGUAACCUGCCCCUCACUUCUGGAUAACCGCUUGAAAGGGUGGCUAAUACGGGGUGUUCUGGCUGUGCCGCAUGGUGUGGCUGGGAAAGAUUCACUUUUGUGGUGUUUUGGUGGGGGAUGGGCUCGCGGCCUAUCAGCUUGUUGGUGGGGUGAUGGCCUGCCAAGGCUUUGACGGGUAGCCGGCCUGAGAGGGUGGGCGGUCACACUGGGAAUGAGAUACGGCCCAGACUCCUGCGGGAGGCAGCAGUGGGGGGUAUUGCACAAUGGGCGGAAGCCUGAUGCAGCGACGUCGCGUGAGGGAUGGAGGCCUUCGGGUUGUGAACCUCUUUCGCCGGUGAAGAAGGUCCUGCUCUUUGUGGUGGGGUUGACGGUAGCCGGGUUAUGAAGCGCCGGCUAACUACGUG